UCGUUGUUAAGCACUCGCACACUUUCUCUUUACUGCUAAUGUUACACACAGGUAAGCGCGAGUGACCAAGCGAGCACAAGCGAGCGAGCAAAGCAAAGCAAAGCAAAGCAAGCAAACGUGAGUGGAAAUCUCGCAGGAACUUGAAUGGAUUGCUGCAAGCUACCUAGGCCUGCAUACGCUCUGCUUGCUUGUCGAGCGAGAGGAACAAAGUGAUGUGAAAUCCAGUCCAAGCUUCUGUCCAUCCAGGGAUUGCGAAGAGAGAUAUGGAUAGCGUAGGACUUUUGGAUCGAUCAGUAUGAACCCGCCCGACUUGUAUGGAUAAGUUGUAACUUUUGGAUUGAUCAGUUUGACUAUGAACUUAUAAUAAGAUUCGGAUAAGUGGAACUUGAUCUUAUCGUUUUUUCCCUGUCUAUAAGAAAAAGAAACCCCGAUAGAAGUGUAAACAAGCAAGCGACAAAAGUUUCGCUUUGAAACUCUCGACUGUUUUCUCUUUUCUGCGUCUUGAUGAUCGACUUCAUCGGUUCUUCUUUAAGCCCUAAACUCUUCAGGCGCCGACACCCAGGAAACCUAUGAAAUCCUGGGCGGGCUUGUUGCGAUCUUCGUCGCCGACGUCCUGGGAAGACUGCUCCACGCUGAUGCACGAAAUCGCACUGUUGGACGCGCUGAGUUGCUACUGGUGUUGAUCGAGACGGUAGAGAUGAGCCUGGUGCUGGAAUUGCUGCUGCGUCUUCUUCCACAGCUCGAGCUGGAGGUCACUGGCGAGAUUGCCGCUGGGCGGCUGCGGCUUCUAAUCGCAUUGCUGCUGUUCUUCACGGUAGCAUUGUCUGUGGACGUGAAAUCCGUGGUACUGCUCGUGGUGCCGCUCAAGGCGUCGCGUAAGUUGCUUUGCCCGCCACCAUUUUGCUGGUUUCGAUGAUUUUGCUCAUGGUGGUGGUGGCGGCCAUAAUACCCCUCCGCGAAGCUCGGAGCUGAUCCUCCUGCCAGCAAAGUUCCUGACGGCAUCACACGAUAUAUAUCAGACCAUGAUGGCAUUCUACCCUCCCCGGAUUGAAUCCCAUCAAAUUGCUCGCACGAUGAUGGAAACUAUCCAUCCACGCCGCCGCCGCCGCCGCCGCUGUUGCCGAGCUGCUUGUUGGGCGAUCCUCCGCGUCCACCAGGCUCCGCUUGGACGGCAGCAGCACCGGCGUGGAUCCCCUGUUUAGCAGCAAAUUGUGGUGAUCGAGCUGCUGCGAUGGUGGCGCGGGAUGAUCGGAUUUCACGGCGGUGGUCACGGUGUUCUUCCCGGUGGAGGCGGCGUUGGGCGAUCGACCGUAUGUCCGCGUCCGCUCGCGGUACUUCCUGGCCAUGACGACGUGCCAGUGGUUCUUGACUGCAUUGUCGGUUCUUCCCGGGAAGAGCCGCGCGAUCGUCGCCCACUUGUUGCCGUGGAAUCUGUGCGCCCCCAGCAGCCGCUCCUCCUCCUCCUCCGGGAACGGCUGCCGGCGUGGGAGAGCGUCGCUUGGAACACGCUCAUCGCUGGGUUGGGUCUGCGAUCGCGGAUCUCCGAGGCAAAGUCACUGUUUGAUCGAAUGCCCGCAACGAAGAACAUCAUCUCGUGGAUGUCGAUGAUCCAGGGAUUCGUUGAGACAGGCAGCGUGGAUGAUGCUAAAGAGCUCUUCGAUGUCAUGCCUGGAUGGGAUCCAGCGUCUUGGAACUUGGUUCUCCAGGCGUAUGCCCAGAAUGGGCAUACUGAGAGCGUCAAGAGCGUGUUCCAGGAGAUGCCCGAGAAAUCUCUCCUCGCCCACGUUUUCCCCAUCGCGGCAUUCGCGCAGGGAGGCCAGAUCGCGGAGGCCAAGAGCGCGUUCGAUCGGAUGGUCCGGCUGGACAUCACGGCCUGGAACACGAUCAUCGCUGCCUACUGCGGCGAUCACGAUCUAGGCUUGAACAACGCGCGCAGAGGAUUCGAUCGGGCUCCCAAGCGCGACAUCGUGUCGUGGAACACGACCAUCAGUGGCUACGUCCAGCGCGAGAAUCUGGAGGAGGCCAAGCUCCUGUUUGAUGCCAUGCCCGAGAAGAACAGAGUCUCUUGCAAUGCGAUGCUCGCUGGCUACUCCAAUCGAUGCCUCGCGGACGAGGCCGCGGAUCUCUUCCACUCCAUGACCCAGUCUGCGACCACGCAGCCGGAUCGCCUGUCCCUCACGGCCGGAUCGGCCGGCUGGGCGACGCGAUCGAUCUGGCGAUGAGCAUGCCGUUCGUCCCGGACGAAGUGGAGCUCGCAUCUUUACUCAGUGCUUGCGGUUUACAUCGUGACGCCGACCAGGCCGCACGGGCAGCCAUGGAUCUGGGGAGCGUAUCCCCCACGCGAUCCUCGCCGUACGUGCUCCUCUCCAAUGCUUUUGUACAGAAGGUGGAGGCAUCGCCGUUCUUGGCACGCUACACUCGAGUUCUCCAUAUACCCAAACUGGGCAGACUUCUAUAUCGAAAGGUUGCAUGGCUGAGUCUUUGUGAUAUUCCAUGCGCCAUCUUGAUUGAAGCUGCCAACCUCUUGGAGAAUGUGUAUGAAGAAUUAUCUGUUCACUGACACAUUUUUCUCAUGUGAAGUGGGCAAAGUGUGCCUUCUUAUUAUUUUGAUCCAAAACUUCUACCUGUGCAUUCAAUCUUGUGUGACAUUUUUUGAUACGUUCUAAAAGCCCAUUAUUCAAGUGAUGGUCAGGAUGCUUAAAAUUCUGUGCGGCAAGCAGGUUUUACAUGGAGAGCUUGGGUGGCUGCUAGCCUUCGCUCAGCCUUUCACUCGUCCGAUUCCUGGGCUCUUACCUAAGGUGCCUUUCUGGUAUAUCUUCAUCUGCUUUUCAAGUCCAUCAAUCACUCAAACUUGAUUCAAAAUGCAGGAAAAGCUGUACAGAAAAAUGCGGCUUGGAUCCUAGAAUGAAUAAAGCACUGAUCUGAUCGCUUCUCCAGCAUCGCCGAAUCUUCUCCAACGAAGUGGAGCUCGCAUCUUUGCUAAGUGCGCGUCCUGGGCCGGGCACCGUAUCACGCGAUCGUCAAAUGCCUUCGUACAAGAGGUGAGACAACGAGAGAAGGAACCUAAAGCAAACAUGGCUUUCGGUGGACCUUCAACGUGGAAAGUAAAUCACAAAUGGGUAUAUUCAAGCUUGAUGAUUCCCACAUUUUCUGUGGAAUUCAUAGCGCAUCUUUGCUUGGGGUGAUCUCAAGAGGUUCUUGCUUAACUUGCGACGCGCCAGCGAUCUUUCCCCUCCUCUGCUCCUCGUCCUGUCUUCGUGUCUCCAUUCCGAGCCAGCGCCUCAGAUUCCUAGCUCGCCCCGACUUGCAUUCCGCUCAAUCCCUCCAUCAAAGCCCUCCCCUAUCCACAUCGCCAGGAGUUUUGUCUGAAUUUCUUGCUGACCGCAGGUAACGCGAGAGCUUCCACAUUCCGGGAGCUGAUCGGCCAUGCCAAGGAGGAGAAAGACGCCCAGAGAGGAUGAGAAAGGAUCUCCUCCACCUUCGUCGAGCGGAGCUUCUCCACAGCCGCCGCCCCGUGCCGCCGCGAGCUCCAGCUCCACCACCGAAGCUUCACAAGGGGCUUUAGCCAUGGCCAGGCAUCCACAAUACUCGCAGCAUUACCAAGUAGGAGGAACUAGUGGUGGAAGGAGUGGAGGUCAGUAUAGUCAAUCAAGUAGUGGCCGUGGAGGAGGAGGAACGGGAGGAUAUCAUGGGCAGCAGCAGCCGCGACAAGCUCCAGCAGUGAGCGCAGUGGUAGAGCAAUUUUCUGGAUUGGGUGUGGAAGUUCCAGUUCCUGCGCAACCAGCGCCACCGCAGCCGAGCGUCGUAGCUCCUCCAGCGUCUAGCAAGGCCUUGAGAUUUCCGCUGAGGCCCGGACGCAGCCAAACGGGGGUUAAGUGCAUUGUCAAGGCGAAUCACUUCUUUGCAGAGCUACCAGAUAAGGAUCUACACCACUAUGAUGUAAGUUUCUUCUUGUCACGAGCUAGUGUUUGCAUCCAAUUGGCUUGUUUUGCUUGCGCAGGUGACGAUCACUCCCGAGGUGAUAUCGCGUGGUGUGAAUCGAGCGGUCAUGGAGCAGCUCGUUAAGUUUCACAGGGAUUCGAGUUUGGGUCACAGGCUCCCAGUGUAUGAUGGCCGGAAAAGCCUGUACACUGCUGGGCCUUUACCCUUCCAUUAUAAGGACUUUCAGGUAAGUCUGCCGGAGGAAGAUGAUGGAUGUGGUACACCGAGGUGAGUGUAGCUUAGCUUUUCUUUUCUCGACUUUACAGCAUACUGAAGAAAAGCAUAAAAUAUCUUUCAGGAGAGAUCGGCAGUUCAAGGUGGUCAUCAAGUUCGCUGCUCGUGCUGAUCUGCAUCAUCUUGGCCAGUUUCUGGCCGGGAGGCAAGCAGAUGCUCCUCAAGAGGCCUUGCAAGUGCUGGACAUAGUGCUGCGAGAGCUUCCUACCCAUAGGUUCGCUCCUCUUUUCUUUGGUAUCGGGUUUUUAUGUGUUUCUUUUGAGUUCUUCCAGGUAUUCGCCUGUUGGACGAUCGUUUUAUUCACCAGACUUAGGACGUACACAAUCCCUCGGUGACGGCUUAGAAAGCUGGCGAGGGUUCUACCAGAGUAUAAGGCCCACGCAAAUGGGUCUUUCUCUGAAUAUUGGUAAGGAUUAUGAAAUGUGAUGGUAUGCGUUCUGAUCUUUUGUUGAAGACAUGUCAUUUACUGCUUUCAUUGAGCCGCUGCGCGUGGUGGACUUUGUUGGCAAACUCCUUAACAAGGACGUAAGCAGGCCACUUUCGGACGCUGACCGCAUCAAGGUAAGUCCCAGCUUGGUUUGCGAAGAGCGAUUUUAAGAUAGAUCUGAUUUUCUGUGCCAGAUCGAAAAAGCUCUGAGAGGGGUCAAAGUGGAAGUUACACAUCGCGGAACCAUGCGACGAAAAUACAGGAUUUCUGGCUUAACUUCUCAGCCUACUCAAGAACUAAUGUAAGUGUUUCUGAUUGUUUGUGAUGUGUCUUAUUUUGUGUUUGCAGGUUUCCUGUUGAUGAUAGAGGUACAAUGAAAUCGGUAAUGGAGUAUUUCCGAGAUACAUAUCACUACACUAUACGAAGCCCAUCUUUACCUUGUUUACAAGUUGGAAAUCAAGAAAGACCAAAUUAUCUGCCAAUGGAGGUGUGCAGUUUUCGUAGGCAUGCAACGAACUAAGUUCAGUUUUGGCUGGUUAACAGGUCUGCAAGAUUGUGGAAGGACAAAGGUAUACUAAACGUCUCAACGAGCGUCAAGUGACAGCCCUUCUAAAAGUAACAUGCCAACGGCCCAGGGAAAGAGAACUCGAUAUUUUGCAAGUAGGAUAAGAAUCUUUUCCCGUUUUUGUCUCUAUUUUUAUAACUGUUCUUAUGUUUUGUGCUAGACUGUUUAUCAUAAUGCAUAUAAUCAAGACCCAUACGCCCAGGAGUUUGGGAUACGUAUCAGUGACAGACUGGCUCUCGUGGAAGCUAGAAUACUGCCUGCCCCACGGGUUUGUGUUUCUUCUCUUUUGUUGUCAUACAAUGUUCUGAAAAAAUGCGGGUUUGCAGCUGAAAUAUCAUGAAACGGGUAGAGAAAAGGAUUGCUUGCCUCAAGACGGGACCUGGCAUAUGAUGAACAAGGUAAGCGUGCUUGGAAGAAAACUGUUCUUUUAAAUUCAUAUGUCUCCAGAAAAUGGUCGAUGGAGGGACAGUGAACUACUGGGCAUGCGUCAAUUUCUCUCGUACUGUUCAAGAUAAUAUAGCUCGGGGAUUUUGUAACGACCUUGCUCAGAUGUGUCUUAUUUCCGGAAUGGUACGGCUUUCAGAAUGAUCUUCAGUUUACUAAUCGUAUAUGACAUGCAGGCGUUUGCUGCUGAACCUAUCAUUCCAGUUCAUGCUGCACGCCCAGACCAGGUAGAACGUGCUCUGAAGUCGGUAUAUCGUGAAGUUCAAAGCAAGGUCAAAGGAAAGGAAUUAGAGUUACUGAUUGCCAUAUUACCUGACAACAAUGGCUCACUUUAUGGUAAGAGACUUGGUUUUUUACAGAUUUCCUGAUAAGUUUUAUUCCAGGCGACUUGAAACGAAUUUGCGAAACAGACCUGGGAUUGGUUUCUCAAUGCUUCUUGACAAAGCACGUCUUUAAGAGAGGAAAGCAGUGUCUUGCUAAUGUUGCGUUGAAAAUCAAUGCCAAGGUAGGGCGCUUCAUGCGCGAUGUUCGUGAAUAAGCUCAACAAGUUUGUUGUAAGGUCGGAGGCAGAAACACUGUCUUGGUGGAUGCACUAUCUCGGAGGCUUCCUUUAGUAAGUGAUACGCCAACAAUUAUAUUUGGAGCGGAUGUUACGCAUCCUCAUCCUGGAGAAGAUUCGAGUCCCUCGAUUGCAGCGGUAAGUGUACGAUUUUUCUUUUCGUGUGUCUCUAAAUAAGCUGCCUGUUACCGGUUGUCGCUUCUCAGGAUUGGCCAGAAGUCACGAAAUACGCAGGUCUAGUGUGCGCUCAAGCUCACAGACAAGAGUUGAUCCAAGAUUUGUAUAAAACAUGGGUUGAUCCUCAGAAGGGAACCAUGAAUGGCGGUAUGAUAAGGUUAGUAGCGGUGAGUUUUUUGUUUUACUUAUUGUGCUAACAUACGCAAACUUUAGAGAGCUUUUAAUUUCUUUCCGAAGUGCCUCUGGAUACAAACCUGGAAGAAUCAUCUUCUACAGAGAUGGUGUGAGCGAAGGACAGUUCUACCAAGUUCUCCUUCACGAGCUGGAUGCAAUUAGAAAGGUAUAGUAUGGAAAGACUUGGCACAUUGACUGAUUCAGCUCUUCGUUUUGGACAGGCUUGCGCGUCACUCGAGCCGAACUAUCAGCCUCUCGUGACGUUCGUUGUGGUCCAGAAACGGCACCACACCCGGCUAUUUGCUAACGAUCACGACGAUACAAGAACCACUGAUAAGAGUGGAAAUAUCCUGCCAGGUGCUGUUGCCGUUAAUAAGUGGCGAAUUUAGAUAACUAAUGAGAGACCGUUUUCCUUGACAGGCACUGUGGUGGAUUCGAAGAUUUGCCAUCCAACGGAGUUUGACUUCUACCUUUGCAGCCAUGGCGGCAUUCAGGUAACUUGAUGGAGCCCUGGCCUUUGUAGCUUUGCUCAUACGACGAGACUAUGUUACAGGGAACAAGCAGACCAGCACACUAUCACGUACUUUGGGACGAGAACAAGUUCACUGCCGAUGGCUUGCAGUCCCUCACCAACAGCCUGUGCUACACUUACGCUCGCUGCACACGCUCAGUCUCGAUAGGUAAAGACCAUAGCUCUUUCCCAUAGGCUUUGACAACUAAAGCACAAAGCAAUCGUCCUUUUCUUUCAGUACCACCUGCAUACUACGCUCACCUGGCUGCGUUCCGCGCGAGAUUCUACAUGGAGCCGGACGCGUCCGAGGCUGGCUCCGUCCACCGGAACACUGCUCCCCGAGCUGGUAAUUGCCAGGAUGGCUCCAUCCGGCCGCUGCCCGCGUUGAAGGACAAGGUUAAGAAGGUCAUGUUCUACUGCUAGUCAGUAUGCUACUACUACUCUUUUGCUUUUAUCUCGCGUUUUUAAUCUAUCUGACUCCUGUUGCUUUCGCAUACUUAGUGUCCCACUAAGGGGACCUCGGUGUCAAAGUCGCGCCUUGUUUUUACUCCUGGUGGUGUACUCCAUUUCGGAUUCUACACUUCCACUACUGCUUCCAGCGGCAGCCAGCCAGGUCCUCGAGCGCGCAGGCUCAAUGAUGAAACCACCAUGAAGCAGCAACAAACAAAGGAGGAUCCUUGAAAUCCAGCACCAUAAAUGCCGAGCCAGGGCGCUGCAAAUUGCUAACAACAAAACGCAGUCUGGAGCAGCAGCAGCAGCAGCAGCAGCGGAGCGCGCAGCAGUCGAACAACAGAGGAUUGUCUUCACUCUCCUGGCAAAACGGUACUGCUUUCUUUCGCUUCGUUUCCAUCCAUGCUCUUACCGUUGUGUCUUUGUUUAUAGUUUUCUUUUGGUUCGUCUCGGCUUGGCUCUCUCUCUCUCGCUCGAGCACAGCAGGCUUUUAAACCAAAGAAUCCUGGAUGCGAAUUUAUGGUCCCUCGGGUAUGACAUGCUCUCUCACAAUUGCGUUGGAAGUUAUUUGUGGCCAUGUCACUAUGACAUGCCUGGCAGAAACGCAGCGUAGGCGUUUUCAUCAUCAUGGCCACACUGUGGCCUGCCGGGUCGUUGUUAAGCACUCGCACACUUUCUCUUUACUGCUAAUGUUACACACAGGUAAGCGCGAGUGAGCAAGCGAGCACAAGCGAGCGAGCAAAGCAAUGCAAAGCCCAGCAAGCAAACGUGAGUGGAAAUCUCGCAGGAACUUGAAUGGAUUGCUGCAAGCUACCUAGGCCUGCAUACGCUCUGCUUGCUUGUCGAGCGAGAGGAACAAAGUGAUGUGAAAUCCAGUCCAAGCUUCUGUCCAUCCAGGGAUUGAGAAGAGAGAGAUGGAUAGCGUAGGACUUUUGGAUCGAUCAGUUUGAACCCGCCCGACUUGUAUGGAUAAGUUGGAACUUUUGGAUUGAUCAGUUUGACUAUGAACUUAUAAGAUCCUAGAGCCUUGGAUAAGUGGAACUUGAUCUUAGUAAGCUUACACUUCUAUCGGGGUUUCUUUUUCUUAUAGACAGGGAAAAAACGAAACAAGCAAGCGACAAAAGUUUCGCUUUGAAACUCUCGAUUGUUUUCUCUUUUCUGCGAUGGAUCUUGUCUUGAUGAUCGACGAUCAGGCGCCGACACCCAGGAAAUCUAUGAAAUCCUGGGCGGGCUUGUUGUGAUCUUCGUCGCCGACGUCCUGGGAAGACUGCUCCACGCUGAUGCACGAAAUCGCACCGUCGGACGCGCUGAGUUGCUGCUGCUGUUGAUCGAGACGGUAGAGAUGAGCCUGGUGCUGGAAUUGCUGCUGCGUCUUCUUCCACAGCUCGAGCUGGAGGUCACUGGCGAGAUUGCCGCUGGGCGGCUCGUUUGCAUGGCCACGGCUUCUAAUCGCAUUGCUGCUGUUCUUCACGGUAGCAUUGUCUGUGGACGUGAAAUCCGUGGUACUGCUCGUGGUGCCGCUCAAGGCGUCGCGUAAGUUGCUUUGCCCGCCACCAUUUUGCUGGCUUCGAUGAUUUUGCUCAUGGUGGUGGUGGCGGCCAUAAAACCCCUCCGCGAAGCUCGGAGCUGAUCCUCCUCCAAGAAACGGGGCCAGCAAAGUUCCUGACGGCAUCACACGAUAUAUAUCAGAACAUGAUGUAGAUCCAGACAUUAGAGCAUGCGAUUUGGAUGAGAGAAUAAGAACACACACACUCGUGGAUAUGGAACUUCUAGAGGAGAGCUUACCUGGUCUUAACGUAUUGGGGCCACUGCUGCUGCUGGUCGUCGUCGUGCAUGGAGCUUGAUCCCUGCCCGGGAAGAAGGGGACCCUCCCCGGAUUGAAUCCCAUCAAAUUGCUCGCGCGAUGAUGGAGAUUAUCCAUCCACGCCGCCGCCGCCGCCGCUGUUGCCGAGCUGCUUGUUGGGCGAUCCUCCGCGUCCACCAGGCUCCGCUUGGACGGCAGCAGCACCGGCGUGGAUCCCCUGUUUAGCAGCAAAUUGUGGUGAUCGAGCUGCUGCGAUGGUGGCGCGGGAUGAUCGGAUUUCACGGCGGUGGUCACGGUGUUCUUCCUGGUGGAGGCGGCGUUGGGCGAUCGACCGUAUGUCCGCGUCCGCUCGCGGUACUUCCUGGCCAUGACGACGUGCCAGUGGUUCUUGACUGCAUUGUCGGUUCUUCCCGGGAAGAGCCGCGCGAUCAUCGCCCACUUGUUGCCGUGGAAUCUGUGCGCCGCCAGCAGCCGCUCCUCCUCCUCCUCCGUGAACGGCUGACGGUUGAUCCGCGGGUCGAGCUGAUUGAACCACCGCAGCCUGCAGCUCUUGCCUGGAAAGAAAAAUCGCGAUGAUCGUGUGAGACGACGAUGGUCAUCGGGGAUAUCGAUCGCGAUAAAACUCCAGGGGAUCAGAUGAGACAAGGAGAGAAAGAAAAGAGAUUGGAAGAAAAGGAAUGAUCUUUCCGGCGAUUGCGAGCGAGCAAAACAAUGCGCCG
rnacentral:lncRNA from 1 species